UAUAUUAACUGGACCAGGUGCAAGUGGCCAAAGGCUAGGGUUUUUUAUCCCCCCACUGCCCAGGAGAGGUGGUGACGUGGACUUGAAAGGCCUGCAAUGGGGUUGGAGCUAGCUCCCCCCAGUAGGCAGGCUCAGUAUUGGAGCCGAGCCAGAGGCAGGCCGAGGAGUGGCCCAGGAGCUGCAGAAGCAGCGGAGAUCGUGCAGAGCUAGAAGAAUUCCAGGUAGAGGAUGAGAGAAAGACUCCAAGCAGUCUCACUACCACUUUCCCCCCACACACAACGGGGUGGGAGGAGGCGACCCUGAGUUGAGAGUGAGCAACAGAGAGAAGGGCCGAGGGGCUCGGAGGAGGCCCUAUGUGAGGUUUGGGUGAGAGCAGCCGAAAACUGAAGGAGGAAUGCAGGGGGAAGAGUGCCUCCCAUGACACAUAGAAGUCAAGCUGAAGCUGCAGCAGCUUGAAACAGAGAGAAGCUAAACCAAGCAGGUUUUUUCUGGGUAAGGACUUUUGGUGAAAACUAUUUGGGGUAUAAAUACUGAGCAAAACCCAGAAAUCCUGUACCUUGGAGAGCAAGAGUGGACAUCUUACUCUCUGGGAGGAACCUUCAUGUACUGGGGGGAAAGGACUCAAAAGCUGACCCCCUGUAAAUCGUGAUGAAGACCUGGUAAAACAAGUGUUCCCUUGUAGUCCAGGAGGAGACCUCAGCAGGGUCAAGCAGCUGGUGGCGGAUCUUCAUCUACAAACAAUGAACAGACAUUUGGCACACUAGAAAAUGAUCAGCAAAAGAAAGGAUAUCCAUGCCAUUAAAAGUUCUUGCACCAUACUAUCCCUGACUCUCCCCUGAAUCUCCCAGAUGGAGACUAGAUGUUCCAUAAGCAACAGCGUUUAGGUUUGUUUAGGUUAGACUUCAGUUAAUUUAAAAAUAAAAAUUGGAAAAUUCUGGGUAGGUAGGUUAUAAAAAUGUGAUAAGGUAAACUGCAUAGAAUCAAGCAGUAACUAGAGCAAUGCUACCAUCAUAAUCUUGUGUGUAA